UCAUGAGCUCGGCUUGUGCUCAGCAUUUGCUGGCAGCGCCUCACUUCUCAGUCACUCGCAGGCAGCGAGGGUGGAGGGACUAUUGCUGUGCCUGCUUUACAGGCCGCCGGCCCUGGUCCAUCCUCCCCACUUCCUGCUCACCAUCUACAAUGGAGGCCACCCGCUCGCAGAUGCAGGAGCCAUCAUGAAGCUGAGGGUCAAACAGAGUGGCCUGCGGAAGACACAAGGGUCAAAGGUCUAGCCCUGCACACUGAUAUGGCCACCCCCCUGUGCUGGACAGAACUGGGGCGUUCCAGGUUCCAGUCCCGCUGUGUCACUUUGUAAAGUCCCUUAAGUGGG